AGAGUUUGAUCAUGGCUCAGAUUGAACGCUGGCGGCAUGCUUUACACAUGCAAGUCGAACGGCAGCGCGGGGUAACCUGGCGGCGAGUGGCGAACGGGUGAGUAAUAUAUCGGAACGUACCCAGAAGUGGGGGAUAACGUAGCGAAAGUUACGCUAAUACCGCAUACGCUCGAGAGAGGAAAGCGGGGGAUCUUCGGACC
rnacentral:rRNA from 1 species